UACGGAGGGUGCAAGCGUUAUCCGGAUUUACUGGGUUUAAAGGGUGCGUAGGCGGGUAGGUAAGUCAGUGGUGAAAGCUUCAAGCUUAACUUGGAAAUUGCCGUUGAUACUAUUUCUCUUGAAUAUCGUUGAGGGUUGCGGAAUAUGUCAUGUAGCGGUGAAAUGCUUAGAGAUGACAUAGAACACCUAUUGCGAAGGCAGAAGGCUAAACGAACACUGACGCUGAGGCACGAAAGCGUGGGGAUCAAACAGG
rnacentral:rRNA from 1 species